rnacentral:rRNA from 1 species
GACGGAGGAUGCAAGUGUUAUCCGGAAUCACUGGGCGUAAAGCGUCUGUAGGUGGUUUAAAAAGUCCACUGUUAAAAAUUGAAGCUUAACUUCAAAGAUGCCGUGGAAACUUUUAAACUUGAGUAUGGUAGGGGUAGAGGGAAUUUCCAGUGGAGCGGUGAAAUGCGUAGAUAUUGGAAAGACCACCAAUGGCGAAGGCACUCUACUGGACCAUUACUGACACUGAGAGACGAAAGCUAGGGGAGCAAAUGGA